UACAGAGGUGGCAAGCGUUGCUCGGAAUUACUGGGCGUAAAGGGCGCGUAGGCGGCCAUCUAAGUCAGACGUGAAAUCCCCCGGCUUAACCUGGGAACUGCGUCUGAUACUGGAAGGCUUGAGUAUGGGAGAGGGAUGUAGAAUUCCAGGUGUAGCGGUGAAAUGCGUAGAUAUCUGGAGGAAUACCGGUGGCGAAGGCGGCAUCCUGGACCAUUACUGACGCUGAGACGCGAAAGCGUGGGGAGCAAACAGG
rnacentral:rRNA from 1 species